GCAGUAUUUGGGAUUCUCAGAUUACAAAGAUUAUUUCACCUUUUCAUUCUUCUUUGUUGGAUUCUCACAGUUCUGUGUUGGAUCUUCUUUGGCUUGUACCUUUUCUUGAACAAUUUCUUGAGUGACACUUGCAAAGCUCUUGAGAUGUUCCAAGAAAAUCCCAACAACAACAGCCUAAGUUCUAUUCUCCUAUGUGAGCAACUUCUAACUGCAAAAUCAGUUCUCAUGAUGUAAGUUCAGAGAUUUAUGAUCUUGUUAAUCAGGUUAACACACAAAUUGCUAUAUCAUAUCCAGACAUUGCUUUGGUUUGUAAUCCUUUCUCACAACCUCCUUAUUAUGAAUACCAACCUCAAAACUGUGCAACAAACACCAUCCGUAUUGGAGACAUCCCCAAGGUAAAUACGUUACGACGUACAAAGUUGUUGCUAAUAUUGUUCACUUUCAGCAGCCUAAAAGUAACCAUAGUCACUAUUCCAUACUUGAAAUAAGCAUAUCUCCAACUCUUCUUCAAUAUUAAACUUCCAA